UUUUCUGAGAGUGUAGGAAUAUGUGCUAUAACUUCACUAAACACGUGGUCAGAUUAACCAUUGUUCUGCAAAAUUUCUUAUAUGUAUGAUCAGGAAUUUGGGGUUUUUAUUGUUUGGAGGGCAUCUCUCGGAGGCCAAGCUCUCAGUUUCUGUGCCCACAAGGGUAUUACUGUGAGGAAGGCACAGGCGUGCCACACGGGUCACCUUGCCCUGCUGGAACCGCAGGAGGACAACUGGGUCAGACAAGUAGGGCAGCUUGCAAGAAGUGUGCAGAGGGUCGCUUCUGUCCCGCAGGUUCUGCUGGUCCUGGGUUGCUUUGUGCCCAUGGGAGGAACUGUCCAGCAGGCACACUCAGUGAAAUCUUAUGCCCACAAGGGACCUUCACCCCACAUCAGGGGGCACUGAGUGUAAAGGACUGUUUAAAGUGUCCACCAGGCUUCUAUUGUGCAGAAGGAACCAGUGACCCAAUGCCUUGUCAACCAGGCACCUUUAACCCUGGAGCUGGCAGACUGCAGGCCUUGUGACCCGGGCAAAGCAUGC